rnacentral:lncRNA from 1 species
AUCGAAAAUGCAUGACUAGCCCAUGGUCGUGCUCAUUUCUAGUCUAUAAAUCUCUUUUCUAUUUGUUGGGAUAUACCGACUGAUCCCUGUACGUCGAUUUAUCUUCAGAUCGGUCCGACCGACGUCCGACUCUAUCGAUCAGACCGACGGACGAUUCUGACAAUGGCUGUCGACCACAUCCGAUCGAAGGUUUGCCGGUCAAACAGAUCCAUACUGUUCUCGAUCGAUCGAGCGGUCGAACCUAUAUCAUCGACUCACUGUCGGGGGUGGCAGUCGACGUCCGAUUUUCACAAGGCAC